CCUACGGGUGGCAGCAGUGGGGAAUAUUGGGCAAUGGGCGCAAGCCUGACCCAGCAACGCCGCGUGAAGGAAGAAGGCUUUCGGGUUGUAAACUUGUUUUCUUAGGGACGAAAAAGUUGACGGUACCUGAGGAAUAAGCCACGGCUAACUACGUGCAAGCAGCCGCGGUAAUACGGAGGUGGCAAGAAUUAUCCGGAUUUAUUGGGUGUAAAGGGCGUGUAGGCGGGAGCGCAAGUCAGAUGUGAAAAUCCAGGGAUCAACCCUGGGCCUGCAUUUGAAACUGUGUUUCUAGAGUGCAGGAGAGGCAAUCGGAAUUCCGUGUGUAGCGGUGAAAUGCGUAGAUAUACGGAGGAACACCAGUGGCGAAGGCGGAUUGCUGGGCAGUAACUGACGCUGAGGCACGAAAGCGUGGGGAGCAAACAGGAUUAGAUACCCCAGUAGUC
rnacentral:rRNA from 1 species